UCCGUUUAUUCGUUUCAGGAUC
rnacentral:siRNA from 1 species